GAACAUUCUGGAGUGGGGAGAAAAAAUCUGUGUACAGUCUCUGCACAAACGGCUGGAUAUGGAUUUUCAUAACAUCAGUUUGUACCAGACUGAAAGUACACCACAAGAGACUGAUGAAUAAGGGGGUGAAAAAUGCUGGUUAUCAAGAUCCAACACAUGGGAGGAUCAGCUAUCAGUUGAGCCAGGAGGAACCUGUUCUGGGGCACGUAACUCUGUUCAGUUGCUAAUUGCACUUGAGAGAGUAUAUGGGAGAAAAGGAGGCAACCAGCUAGACGCAAUUUAAUAAGCACUCUAGAAGUGGUGGAGUCUGUCCUCACCAGGACAACGAAGGACUGUUCUAUACAACUCACUUCGGCAGAAAGGAUAGGUUUUGUGAUUGCCACAUUCGGAGCACAUGACCGAUACCAGGACAGAUGGAAGAUACUUGGCCCCAAGCCAACUUGCUGCCUGGCUGUAGUUUAACUCUUCACCAGUCUUCAAAGGCAGCAGUUCUAAUAGGGAACAAUGGUGUGUGAGGACUGGAAAGGGACACAGGUCUCUGGAUCUCUUGGGUGAGGAAGGUCCCCAUCUUCCAUGUUUUCUUCACUAUAUUCUGCUGAAGUUUGUGACAGGAUCUUAAUCAUACCAAAGAGCAAAGCGCUACCGGUAUUUUCCAGGUUGUGGAGGCUUUUCUUUUUUGACCUGUGAAUCAGAUAGCAACUAAACAAGAACAGAAUGAGCCUGAAGAUUAAUGAUUAAUAGUUCUGUAAUCAUGUAUAGUAGUUGUUGGAGUUCCAGAUAUCUAUGAUCAAUUAUUAUUUGUUAAUGUCAAAGUUCUGUGGUAAAAAUAAAAUGGGUGUAUCAA